rnacentral:rRNA from 1 species
UACGUAGGGUGCGAGCGUUAAUCGGAAUUACUGGGCGUAAAGCGUGCGCAGGCUGUUUUGUAAGUCAGAUGUGAAAAUCCCUGAGCUCAACUUAGGAACUGCGUUUGAAACUAACAAGACUAGAAUAGUGUCAGAGGGGGGUAGAAUUCCACGUGUAGCAGUGAAAUGCGUAGAGAUGUGGAGGAAUACCAAUGGCGAAGGCAGCCCCCUGGGAUAAUAUUGACGCU